rnacentral:lncRNA from 1 species
CUCAGGCGGCCUGGCCAAGAGACCAGCCCUCUUCCUCUGGAGGGGGUGGGGCCUCUGCAGCCCAGGAGCCUGUGACUGAGGAGCCACCAGCACCAGCACCAUCACCAGCAGCAGUAGAGGAGGAGACCACUCCAGAUUAGACCCCACAGCCAUCUCCAUCCUCUGCACCUGCUCUUGAGGAGACGCAACCAUCAACACUGGAUCUUAAUGAAGACCAACC